CCCCACCGGACGACCACACCCUUUCAUCGAAGACCACACCCUCAUCGACCUCUUCAUCCUCUGGUAUGAGGAUCUGUGCUCUUUUAUAUUUUAUAUUAUGUAUUAUAUAUAUGAAAGAGUUUUUUAUGGCCGAUACACACACUCAUCAUUAUUGCAAAAUCCCGUAACGUUAUAAUUUCUUGAUGAUGUUCUUUAAUUUAAUUUGACUAUAUGUAUUUUCUGGUAUGGUGGAAAAUCAAAAUUAGAAAAGUCUAAUUUUGAUUUUGUAAAAUUGAAGAUUAAAAAUGAAAUUAAUAAUUGGGCUUCUUCUACUACGGCCAGGCAUCUAUUUGACUCAUUUAUUACCAUUUUUUAAUAAUAUAAAACCUAAAUGUUUACUUAAUUAAUCACGGCUAGUAUAAAACCUCAAUCGCGACUAAUUAUGUUAUUUACAGACCGAGGUCAAAGGGAAUAAAUAAUUAGGGUUUUGGUCUUGAAAGAGUUAUUUUAAAUUCGAUAGUGAGUGACCACAAGUAUAUAUAGACAAAAAAAUUGGAAUAUCUUCAACUGGUUACGGGGUUGUAAGUUGGUGGAAUAUUUUAGGAACGAGUACUGACAAUUUCAGGUGCAGGUUCGCUACCCUAACGAGCUCGGAUUAAGAGUGCAGACCCUGGAAAUGAGGAAUUUUGCUUUUUGGUGUAAUAAAAGUUGGAAUAUCGAAACCGGUAAAGCAUGAUUGGGAUAUCUUGCUUUGGAAUUAAUUUUAGCAUUUACUAUCAAAUUACAUAAUAAACGGGUACAUAAAGUGGUUUUCAUGUUUAUAUAGAUGUUUUAUACAGAGUGGUUUUCAUGUUUAUAUAGUUGUUUAUACGGAGUGGUUUUCAUAAUGUCAGGCUUUGUCUUUGAUAAAUUUAUAGUGGUUUUCAACAAUUUUAUAAUGGUU
rnacentral:lncRNA from 1 species